AUGGCUCAGGACGAACGCUGGCGGCGUGCCUAACACAUGCAAGUCGAACGGAACUGUUUUGAAAGAUUUCUUCGGAAUGAAUUUGAUUUAGUUUAGUGGCGGACGGGUGAGUAACGCGUGAGUAACCUGCCUUCAAGAGGGGGAUAACAUUCUGAAAAGAAUGCUAAUACCGCAUGACAUAUCGGAACCACAUGGUUCUGAUAUCAAAGAUUUUAUCGCUUGAAGAUGGACUCGCGUCCGAUUAGUUAGUUGGUGAGGUAACGGCUCACCAAGACCGCGAUCGGUAGCCGGACUGAGAGGUUGAACGGCCACAUUGGGACUGAGACACGGCCCAGACUCCUACGGGAGGCAGCAGUGGGGGAUAUUGCGCAAUGGGGGCAACCCUGACGCAGCAACGCCGCGUGAAGGAUGAAGGUUUUCGGAUUGUAAACUUCUUUAUUAAGGACGAAACUUGACGGUACUUAAUGAAUAAGCUCCGGCUAACUACGUGCCAGCAGCCGCGGUAAUACGUAGGGAGCAAGCGUUGUCCGGAUUUACUGGGUGUAAAGGGUGCGUAGGCGGCUUUGCAAGUCAGAUGUGAAAUCUAUGGGCUCAACCCAUAAACUGCAUUUGAAACUGUAGAGCUUGAGUGAAGUAGAGGCAGGCGGAAUUCUCCGUGUAGCGGUGAA
rnacentral:rRNA from 1 species